rnacentral:rRNA from 1 species
GAAAUGGAAAGGACGCUUUUAUUAGAUCAAAACCAUUCGCCCAACUCGUUUGGGCGUUUAUUUGAUGAUUCUAGAUAACACAUGUGAUCGUACAGUCUUGUACUGACGACGUCUCUUUCAAACGCCUGACUUAUCAGCUGUCGAUGGUAGACUCUGUGUCUACCAUGGCCCUCACGGGUAACGGGGAAUCAGGGUUCGAUUCCGGAGAGGGAGCCUGAGAAACGGCUACCACAUCCAAGGAAGGCAGCAGGCACGCAAAUUACCCACUCCCGGCACGGGGAGGUAGUGACAAAAAAUAACGAUACGGGACUCUAAUGAGGCCCCGUAAUCGGAAUGAGUACACUUUAAAUCCUUUAACAAGGAUCCAUUGGAGGGCAAGUCUGGUGCCAGCAGCCGCGGUAAUUCCAGCUCCAAUAGCGUAUAUUAAAGUUGUUGCGGUUAAAAAGCUCGUAGUUGGUUCUGCGUGCCGCGCUGUCGGUUCGCCGCCUGUCGGUGUAACUGGCAUGUCGCGUCA